rnacentral:rRNA from 1 species
AACGAACGCUGGCGGCAUGCCUAACACAUGCAAGUCGAACGAGACCUUCGGGUCUAGUGGCGCACGGGUGCGUAACGCGUGGGAACCUGCCCUUAGGUUCGGAAUAACUCCCCGAAAGGGGUGCUAAUACCGGAUAAUGUCUUCGGACCAAAGAUUUAUCGCCUUUGGAUGGGCCCGCGUUGGAUUAGCUAGUUGGUAGGGUAAGAGCCUACCAAGGCGACGAUCCAUAGCUGGUCUGAGAGGAUGAUCAGCCACACUGGGACUGAGACACGGCCCAGACUCCUACGGGAGGCAGCAGUGGGGAAUAUUGGACAAUGGGCGAAAGCCUGAUCCAGCAAUGCCGCGUGAGUGAUGAAGGCCUUAGGGUUGUAAAGCUCUUUUACCCGGGAUGAUAAUGACAGUACCGGGAGAAUAAGCUCCGGCUAACUCCGUG